UAGAAGACAGAGGCCGGUCACGAUCGCC
rnacentral:sRNA from 1 species